CUGAAACGCAAGGAGGCUUCAUCAUAAGCUCUGGCUGCAGCCUCUGCUGUUUGGAAUGUUCCUAACCACACUCUGCUCGCCUUUAUCGGGUCCCUUAUCUCUGCCGCCCAUUUCCCCCACGGCCUCUGCCUCACUCCUCUCAGGCUGCGAGGCUUCACGUGAGAAUUCACCGAAUGAUGUAUUUGUAUUUGUAUUUGUAUUAUCCUCUUCCCUCCUUCUCUUCAGAACAGAGUUGCCACCAUGAGAUGAAGAAGGUGCCACUGCCACAGAAGCACAAGCCAUAUUUGAUGUCACAAAAACUUCACUAUUGUUGUUAUUAUUAUUAUUAUUAUUAUUGAUACUGUGAUCCUCUCCACACACGACAUGGGUCAAAGCAGAGAUCAUGGCUGACAUCUCCCUCUCUCGGUUCAGACCCGAAAACAUGAAUGGCACUGACAAAAGCUUCUCGUUACCCUUUCCACCGUGAUUCGCCAUGUAGCUUCACCUCUUUGUAAUUUGCAUGCACGCCCUCCAACUCAACCCAACCCUUUUUCAUACCAUGGAAAAGUUCAAUUUGGUAACAGCCGCCAUCAAGAUUCAAGAAUAGUGGUCGGUGUUUAAACAACACGAAUGUCAGAAAUGAAUGCAACAGUGAUAGUAAUAGUAUAUGCUUUUUGAAGAUUCAGUUUGUUUUGUCCUAGUUAAGGAAGGAUGGGUCAAAAGCGUUUAGGUGUGAAAGCUGAAACUACGUUGCGUUUUUGUGGAGUGAACCAACUUGACGGUUCUCAACGAAUCGGUCGGUGCUCACUGCUCACAAAAAGGUUACAACAGUAAUUAGCCGACAUCCAAUUUAAUUAUUCUUUUUUUAUAUUUAUUUUAUGCAUGAUCGAUCUUAUAUUUUAAUUAACCCACUUCAAAUGCAAACCACUUGUCGCCAUAUUCUCUUUUGUGUGCAAAUUGGAAUCAUUAAUUCUAUUUCUCAUCCAAUGCCAAAUGUAUCCCAUUCUAAUUGCAUCAAUAUGCAAGUUGCUUCUCACACUUGAUAUCAAAUUGCCAAGUUGCAUACGCCA